CAGCAGUGGGGAAUAUUGCACAAUGGGGGAAACCCUGAUGCAGCGACGCCGCGUGGAGGAAGAAGGUCUUCGGAUUGUAAACUCCUGUUGUUGAGGAAGAUAAUGACGGUACUCAACAAGGAAGUGACGGCUAACUACGUGCCAGCAGCCGCGGUAAAACGUAGGUCACAAGCGUUGUCCGGAAUUACUGGGUGUAAAGGGAGCGCAGGCGGGAGAACAAGUUGGAAGUGAAAUCCAUGGGCUCAACCCAUGAACUGCUUUCAAAACUGUUUUUCUUGAGUAGUGCAGAGGUAGGCGGAAUUCCCGGUGUAGCGGUGGAAUGCGUAGAUAUCGGGAGGAACACCAGUGGCGAAGGCGGCCUACUGGGCACCAACUGACGCUGAGGCUCGAAAGUGUGGGUAGCAAACAGGAUUAGAUACCCUGGUAGUCCACACCGUAAACGAUGAUUACUAGGUGUUGGAGGAUUGACCCCUUCAGUGCCGCAGUUAACACAAUAAGUAAUCCACCUGGGGAGUACGACCGCAAGGUUGAAACUCAAAGGAAUUGACGGGGGCCCGCACAAGCAGUGGAGUAUGUGGUUUAAUUCGACGCAACGCGAAGAACCUUACCAAGUCUUGACAUCCCUUGACGAUGCUGGAAACAGUAUUUCUCUUCGGAGCAAGGAGACAGGUGGUGCAUGGUUGUCGUCAGCUCGUGUCGUGAGAUGUUGGGUUAAGUCCCGCAACGAGCGCAACCCUUAUGGUCAGUUACUACGCAAGAGGACUCUGGCCAGACUGCCGUUGACAAAACGGAGGAAGGUGGGGAUGACGUCAAAUCAUCAUGCCCUUUAUGACUUGGGCUACACACGUACUACAAUGGCGUUAAACAAAGAGAAGCAAGACCGCGAGGUGGAGCAAAACUCAAAAACAACGUCUCAGUUCAGAUUGCAGGCUGCAACUCGCCUGCAUGAAGUCGGAAUUGCUAGUAAUCGCGGAUCAGCAUGCCGCGGUGAAUACGUUCCCGGGCCUUGUACACACCGCCCGUCACACCAUGAGAGUCGGGAACACCCGAAGUCCGUAGCCUAACCGCAAGGAGGGCGCGGCCGAAGGUGGGUUCGAUAAUUGGGGUGAAGUCGUAACAAGGUAGCCGUUCGAGAACGAGCGGCUG
rnacentral:rRNA from 1 species